GGGUUAAGUCCCGCAACGAGCGCAACCCUUAUCCUUUGUUGCCAGCGGUUCGGCCGGGAACUCAAAGGAGACUGCCAGUGAUAAACUGGAGGAAGGUGGGGAUGACGUCAAGUCAUCAUGGCCCUUACGACCAGGGCUACACACGUGCUACAAUGGCAUAUACAAAGAGAAGCGACCUCGCGAGAGCAAGCGGACCUCAUAAAGUAUGUCGUAGUCCGGAUUGGAGUCUGCAACUCGACUCCAUGAAGUCGGAAUCGCUAGUAAUCGUAGAUCAGAAUGCUACGGUGAAUACGUUCCCGGGCCUUGUACACACCGCCCGUCACACCAUGGGAGUGGGUUGCAAAAGAAGUAGGUAGCUUAACCUUCGGGAGGGCGCUUACCACUUUGUGAUUCAUGACUGGGGUGAAGUCGUAACAAGGUAACCGUAGGGGA
rnacentral:rRNA from 1 species